UAGCGGCGGACGGGUGAGUAACGCGUGGGAACGUGCCCUUUGCUACGGAAUAGUCCCGGGAAACUGGGUUUAAUACCGUAUGUGCCCUUCGGGGGAAAGAUUUAUCGGCAAAGGAUCGGCCCGCGUUGGAUUAGGUAGUUGGUGGGGUAAUGGCCCACCAAGCCGACGAUCCAUAGCUGGUUUGAGAGGAUGAUCAGCCACACUGGGACUGAGACACGGCCCAGACUCC
rnacentral:rRNA from 1 species